rnacentral:snRNA from 1 species
AUACUUACCUGGCAGGGGAGAUAUCAUGAUCAUGAAGAUGGUUUUACCUGAGCGAGUCUUAUCCAUUGCACUCUGGAUGUGCUGACCCCUGCAAUUUCACCAAAUUGGGGGGAAACUUGAUUGCAUAAUUUGCGGUAGUGGGGGAUUGCAUUUGCACUUUGCCCUG